CUCGCUAGAGUGUGCUAGCCCCGUCGCGUCUGGUUUGUGUGAGACAGGUGCGCGGCGUUUUAUAGCGUUUUCUCGGGCAAAAUGCCCGGGUGUUGCGUGCCACAGUGCACAAACCACUCGCGAAAUGGCUAUAGGAUGUUCAGAUUUCCGAAAGAUCCGAAAAGGCGACUCCUGUGGCUGGUAAAGAUCAAGCGCGACAAGUGGCAACCCACGGACCGUUCGUGUUUGUGCAGCGGACAUUUCGAAGAAACCGCAUUUGAGCAGAACCGUGCGGACGGCUGAAAAAAAUUGAAGCCGAAUGCUCUGCCAACAAUCUUUUCGUUCAGAGCGAUGCCUAAGCACAGGAAGCCACCAAAAGAAAGGUUUUUACCACAAGGGACGCCUGCGGCCGCAGAAGAAAGUUGUUCUCUGCACAGUCAACCCCAUGCUUCUGAUACCUCAGCGACAGAAAUUCAAGAACAACAUGUCAACGACAUAGCUGGUAUGCAACAAACAGCAAAUCAAGAAUUGCAGCCACUACCGAGUGAUGGCACGGAGAUGUCUCGUGAUCAGAUGAGCAACUUACCUAGCCCAAGUGCCACGGCAGAAACUGAAGUUCCUACAACAGAUGAUUCUCAGCUAGUUGCAUGCCCACU